rnacentral:rRNA from 1 species
GAGAUACGGGCCAGACUCCUACGGGAGGCAGCAGUGAGGAAUAUUGCGCAAUGGGGGAAACCCUGACGCAGCAACGCCGCGUGUGGGAAGAAGGCCUUCGGGUCGUAAACCACUUUUUGCACGGGACGAAAAAAGGGAUAUCGAACAAAUAUCCCCGAUGACGGUACCGUGAGAAUAAGCCACGGCUAACUCUGUGCCAGCAGCCGCGGUAAGACAGAGGUGGCAAGCGUUGUUCGGAAUUACUGGGCGUAAAGAGUCUGUAGGUGGUUUGUCAAGUCUUUGGUGAAAGGCCGUAGCUUAACUAUGGGAAUGCCAAAGAGACUGGCAGGCUGGAGGCUGGGAGAGGGAAGCGGAAUUUCUGGUGUAGCGGUGAAAUGCGUAGAUAUCAGAAGGAAGGCCGGUGGCGAAGGCGGCUUCCUGGAACAGUCCUGACACUGAGAGACGAAAGCGUGGGGAGCAAACAGGAUUAGAUACCCUGGUAGUCCACGCCCUAAACGAUGGGUACUAAGUGUGGAGGGGUUAAACCCUCCGUGCCGCAGCAAACGCAGUAAGUACCCC